UCUUGAAGUCUCUUUCAUCAAAUGAUCAGAAGGUAUUCCGUUAUUUCUCCCAACAUACCUUGGUCAUCAUCAGAUAAAUCAUAGAACUGAUGAAGAUCUUCUUUAGAUGUUUUCCCAACAACAGCACCUCGCUUGUCAACAAAGUCUAAAAGGCAUUUACAUGACACAUUACAUGAUUCAGCUGAAAUCAGUUGUGAUCAGCAGCAACCAUAAUGAAAGCUUACAGUUGAGAUAGUUAUCUCGUCCCUGAAGAGCAGAAUCAACUUUUUCUUUGGAAACAAGUUGUUGCAAUCCGAAAAGAAGCUGUAUCGCUACGCUGGGUCCUUUUUAAGGUAAUUCUUAUCAGUGUCGCCGAAUUGAAAAUACCUUAUUUGGAUUUCAUGCGUAAGGUAAGCUGAUAAACAAAUCUGCUAGCUCUAAGCAUCAAAGUUUGAAGAGGACUCAAGGCCCUAAAGAACCCUAAUUUUAGCUAGAGACUACUGUAUAUCUUAUGCAGUACACUUUACACUGUUAUACAAGAGUUAUAGCUUUACAAACAUCUAUCACCACAGGCAAUAAGUCAGGUACAGGUAUUAAUGUCUUUGAAUGUCUAAGUUAUUCUCUGUCUCAUUUUUUUAAAUCUUUUCUCCAUCAGCCAUAUCCUACAAAAGCAUCUCUUGGUUCAAGUGCUUUGCAAAUCUUAAUCUCCACUCUUGUAGGACACCAUGGUAUCAACUUUGUGGACGGUUGUAGUGAAGGAUCGCAGUCGAACUUCUUCAGAGUCAUUGAUUAUCCGCGGACCAGACUCUUCCCACAUCUCUGGGACAUUCUGGUCUUUGUCAGUAUAAAUCAGCAGGUCAAAGGAACCUAAGAAAAGGAGAAAACAUUUCAAUUAAAAAAAGAUUAGAAUC